rnacentral:rRNA from 1 species
AGAGUUUGAUCAUGGCUCAGAUUGAACGCUGGCGGUAGGCUUAACACAUGCAAGUCGUGCGAGAAAGUAUCUUCGGAUAUGAGUAAAGCGGCGGACGGGUGAGUAACGCGUAGGAAUCUACCUAGUAGAAGGGGAUAGCCCGGGGAAACCCGGAUUAAUACCGUAUACCUCCUUCGGGAGAAAGAAGGCCUCUCUUUGAAGCUUUCGCUAUUAGAUGAGCCUGCGUAAGAUUAGCUUGUUGGUGAGGUAAAGGCUCACCAAGGCUACGAUCUUUAGCUGGUCUGAGAGGACGAUCAGCCACAUUGGGACUGAGACACGGCCCAGACUCCUACGGGAGGCAGCAGUGGGGAAUAUUGGACAAUGGGCGCAAGCCUGAUCCAGCCAUACCGCGUGUGUGAAGAAGGCCUUCGGGUUGUAAAGCACUUUAAGCAGGGAGAAAAAGUUAUAAGUUAAUACCUUAUAACCGUGAUGUUACCUGCAGAAUAAGCACCGGCUAAUUCCGUGCCAGCAGCCGCGGUAAUACGGAAGGUGCAAGCGUUAAUCGGAAUUACUGGGCGUAAAGCGCGCGUAGGUGGUUUGUUAAGUUGGAUGUGAAAGCCCUGGGCUCAACCUAGGAACUGCAUCCAAAACUAACUCACUAGAGUACGAUAGAGGGAGGUAGAAUUCAUAGUGUAGCGGUGGAAUGCG